rnacentral:rRNA from 1 species
AUACGGAGGAUCCGAGCGUUAUCCGGAUUUAUUGGGUUUAAAGGGUGCGCAGGCGGCCGUGCAAGUCAGCGGUGAAAGCCCGGGGCCCAACCCCGGAAGUGCCGUUGAUACUGCAUGGCUGGAAUGCGGUCGAGGCGGGCGGGACGUGGCGGGUAGCGGUGAAAUGCGUAGAUAUGCCACAGAACGCCGAUAGCGGAGGCAGCUCGCCAGGCCUGCAUUGACGCUCGGGCACGAAAGCGUGGGGAUCGAACAGGAUUAGAUACCCUGGUAGUCCACGCCGUAAACGAUGGGCGCUCGUCGUCGGCGGCAGACAGUCGGCGGCCAAGCGAAAGCGAUAAGCGCCCCACCUGGGGAGUACGGUCGCAAGGCUGAAACUCAAAUGAAUUGACGGGG